GACGUAGGGCGCGAGCGUUGUCCGGAAUUAUUGGGCGUAAAGAGCUCGUAGGCGGUUUGUUGCGUCGGCUGUGAAUCCCGAGGCUCAACCUCGGGUCUGCAGUCGAUACGAGCAAACUAGAGUGUUGCAGGGGAGACUGGAAUUCCUGGUGUAGCGGUGAAAUGCGCAGAUAUCAGGAGGAACACCGGUGGCGAAGGCGGGUCUCUGGGCAACAACUGACGUGGAGGAGCGAAAGCGUGGGGAGCGAACAGG
rnacentral:rRNA from 1 species